AAAGUCUGACCUGCCCUAUGAAUAAUAUUUUUAAAUGGCCGCGGUAUUUUGACCGUGCAAAGGUAGCAUAAUAAUUAGUUUUUUAAUUGAGAACUGGUAUGAAAGGUUUGACGAGAGAGGGACUGUCUCAAUUUAAUUUGAAUUAGAAUUUUAUUUUUAAGUAAAAAAGCUUAAAUAAUUUUAAAAGACGAGAAGACCCUAUAGAAUUUUAUAUUUGUGUUUGUAUUUGAAAGUUUAAGUAUUUUAGUUUUGAAUAUUUAUAUAAAUAUUUAGUUGGGGCAACUAAAAAAUUAAUAUAACUUUUUUUAUAUUAAAACAUUGAUUUAUGAAUAAGUGAUCCA
rnacentral:rRNA from 1 species